UACAGAGGGGGCAAGCGUUGUUCGGAAUUACUGGGCGUAAAGCGCACGUAGGCGGCUUCUUAAGUCAGGGGUGAAAGCCUGGAGCUCAACUCCAGAACUGCCUUUGAUACUGAGAAGCUUGAGUCCGGGAGAGGUGAGUGGAACUGCGAGUGUAGAGGUGAAAUUCGUAGAUAUUCGCAAGAACACCAGUGGCGAAGGCGGCUCACUGGCCCGGUACUGACGCUGAGGUGCGAAAGCGUGGGGAGCAAACAGG
rnacentral:rRNA from 1 species